rnacentral:misc_RNA from 1 species
UCGACCAGCAAGAACGACGCGACCAU